rnacentral:rRNA from 1 species
AAAGUGGCGAACGGCUGAGUAACACGUGGGCAACCUGCCCUUUGCACUGGAUAGCCUCGGGAAACCGAGGUUAAUACCGGAUACUCCAUAUUUGUCGCAUGGCGAAUAUGGGAAAGCUCCGGCGGCAAAGGAUGGGCCCGCGGCCUGUUAGCUAGUUGGUGGGGUAGUGGCCUACCAAGGCAAUGAUGGGUAGCCGGGUUGAGAGACCGACCGGCCAGAUUGGGACUGAGACACGGCCCAGACUCCUACGGGAGGCAGCAGCC